GAAGAAUCGCUGCACUGUGCGGGGGAGGAGCCUGGCAGCCCAGGUCUGCCAAAGACAAAUGCUUCUCCGCAGGCAGCGAGGGAGAGCUCUGCAGCAAGGUCCUCAGCUGAACUAACAGGAAGGAAAAGACAUGUGAGAGCCACUGGUUUACAGUCUGCCCCAGAGCAUGCUUAUGGUGACCACUGGGGAAAGACAAGACCCUUCAUCAACCCGAUACUGACACCAGCAUCAUGAUCAGUAUGUAUGUGUCUGUGACCUGCAUUUAGUAGGCACAAGACUUGUACUCCGUCUAAGAAGCCCCAGAUUUUCUAACUGGAUGGAGGCAACUGCAAACCAAAUUCCAAUGGAGAAAAUGUAUAGUAAAUCCUCUGAAGGGGACCAGGGUGAAGAAAGAUCAGUGAAGAG